ACUCCUACGGGAGGCAGCAGUGGGGAAUAUUGCGCAAUGGGCGGAAGCCUGACGCAGCGACGCCGCGUGAGGGAUGACGGCCUUCGGGUUGUAAACCUCUUUCAGCUCUGACGAAGCGAGAGUGACGGUAGGAGCAGAAGAAGCACCGGCCAACUACGUGCCAGCAGCCGCGGUAAUACGUAGGGUGCAAGCGUUGUCCGGAAUUAUUGGGCGUAAAGAGCUCGUAGGCGGUUUGUCGCGUCGAAUGUGAAAACCCGGGGCUCAACCCCGGGCCUGCAUUCGAUACGGGCAGACUAGAGUUCGGUAGGGGAGUCUGGAAUUCCUGGUGUAGCGGUGAAAUGCGCAGAUAUCAGGAGGAACACCGGUGGCGAAGGCGGGACUCUGGGCCGAUACUGACGCUGAGGAGCGAAAGCGUGGGGAGCGAACAGGAUUAGAUACCCUGGUAGUCCACGCCGUAAACGUUGGGCGCUAGGUGUGGGGGUCCUUCCACGACCUCCGUGCCGCAGCUAACGCAUUAAGCGCCCCGCCUGGGGAGUACGGCCGCAAGGCUAAAACUCAAAGGAAUUGACGGGGGCCCGCACAAGCGGCGGAGCAUGCGGAUUAAUUCGAUGCAACGCGAAGAACCUUACCAAGGCUUGACAUGCACGGGAAAGUUCCAGAGAUGGUUCCCCCGCAAGGUCCGUGCACAGGUGGUGCAUGGUUGUCGUCAGCUCGUGUCGUGAGAUGUUGGGUUAAGUCCCGCAACGAGCGCAACCCUUGUCUUAUGUUGCCAGCGCGUAGUGGCGGGGACUCAUAAGAGACUGCCGGGGUCAACUCGGA
rnacentral:rRNA from 1 species